rnacentral:rRNA from 1 species
UGAACCGGGUUGCGGACAGUGUCUGGUGGGUAGUUUGACUGGGGCGGUCUCCUCCUAAAGAGUAACGGAGGAGCACGAAGGUUGGCUAAUCCUGGUCGGACAUCAGGAGGUUAGUGCAAUGGCAUAAGCCAGCUUGACUGCGAGCGUGACGGCGCGAGCAGGUGCGAAAGCAGGUCAUAGUGAUCCGGUGGUUCUGAAUGGAAGGGCCAUCGCUCAACGGAUAAAAGGUACUCCGGGGAUAACAGGCUGAUACCGCCCAAGAGUUCAUAUCGACGGCGGUGUUUGGCACCUCGAUGUCGGCUCAUCACAUCCUGGGGCUGAAGUAGGUCCCAAGGGUAUGGCUGUUCGCCAUUUAAAGUGGUACGCGAGCUGGGUUUAGAACGUCGUGAGACAGUUCGGUCCCUAUCUGCCGUGGGCGCUGGAAGAUUGAGGGGGGCUGCUCCUAGUACGAGAGGACCGGAGUGGACGCAUCACUGGUGUUCGGGUUGUCAUGCCAAUGGCACUGCCCGGUAGCUACAUGCGGAAGAGAUAAGUGCUGAAAGCAUCUAAGCACGAAACUUGCCCCGAGAUGAAUCUUCCCUGAGCCUUUAAGGCUCCUGAAGGAACGUUGAAGACGACGACGUUGAUAGGCCGGGUGUGUAAGCGCAGCGAUGCGUUGAGCUAACCGGUACUAAUGAACCGUGAGGCUUAACCUUACAACGCCGAA